UUGGGAUAACUUCAGGAAACUGGGGCUAAUACCGGAUAGGAGCUCCUGCUGCAUGGUGGGGGUUGGGAAAGUUUCGGCGGUUGGGGAUGGACUCGCGGCUUAUCAGCUUGUUGGUGGGGUAGUGGCUACCAAGGCGUGACGGGUAGCCGGCCUGAGAGGGUGACCGGCCACAUUGGGACUGAGAUACGGCCCAG
rnacentral:rRNA from 1 species